rnacentral:lncRNA from 1 species
AUGAAUAUACAACGUUCUGAACCCUAUGAAGGAGAUAAAACUAAAAGAGACAUAAAAAAAAAAACAGUGCAAACCCACAUAGUAAACUUUAAUGACCUAAACUUUAUAAAAAAUAAUCUAUAUAUAAAAUUAAAAAAAAAUAAACUAUUAAACAAAAAUGUGUUAUUAAUAUAUAGUUUGUUUGUUUUAAUAAAAUUAUAUAGCAUAUGUAAAGAUAAUUGCCCUAAUAUAAAAUUCGAACAAUUUUUGUUUAUGGAUAUAUACGAACGUUUAUGUUUAAUAACUGAUUUUGAUAUUACUUGCAUUUCUUAUGAAUGUAACAAAAAAAUGCAUAUAAAUUUAUUUUUUAAAAAACUGCAAGAUAUUUUUAAAAGUUAUCGUUUUAUUGAUGAACAUAUUUUUUUAUUAUCAGUGAUAAUGGUAAGACAAAAAGAUGCACAAAUGACCCAAUCGAAUGUACAAUCCGAAUCAUCAUUAUCACUUAACCAAUGUUACAAUAUAACAAAUUUAAUAUUUGAAAAUAAUAUAAUAAAUUUAAAUUAUAAAAGCGCAUAUACAUUUUUGGAGGCAUUACACUUGAACACUCUCUAUUCAACACAACAAUUGUUCAUUAUAUUUUGCUUAAAAACGUUAAAAAUGAUACAGUUAAAGCACGUCAACAGUGAUAAUUACAUUAAAAGUAAUACUACCCAUAUAAAUUCGACACUUACUAAUUCCACAUUUAACAAAUAUGUAUUAAAAAAACAUGAACAAAAUAAGUGUAUACAAAUAAACUCAAAUAAAUUAAAUAAAAAAAAAUUAGCUACCUUUGAUGAAUUGUUUAAUUUUUUAAAAUAUAUAUACUAUGUAUAUAAAAACAAAUUAAUUUUAAAUGAUGAUUAUGAAUAUACUUUUUUGUUUUUAAUCAUUUUUUAUAAAUAUAUUUAUAGUAAUUUACUUUAUUUUAUUACCAUACUUAACGACUUUUAUAACUUGUUCCCUAAAAAUAUACAAAUUAAAACAAACAAAUAUGAAAAACAUUUCAAAAGGUGUUUACGAAGUGAUUUUUCCUUAAAGUUUUCAAAACAUAUGUUAUUCGAUCCAAAUAUUUAUAAAGAGGUACAAAAAAAAAAUGAUAUAUUAGACGGAAAUUACACUUAUGAUCAUGUUGGACAUACUACUACAGAAACAGAUUGUUUUAAAUUAACAAAUUUAUUUAAAAAAGAUAUAACUGAUAAACAUAUUGUUAUUUAUGACGAACACCUUGAGCGUAUCAUAAAUUUAUAUUAUUAUGACAGAGUUUCACAUGGGUAUGCGAAAGAAAUGUAUCAUAUACAGACUACUAACGAUAAAAAAAAUUCAUAUGAAUUAACAAGUGGAAGAAAUAAUAUACUAGAAGAACGGAACAAUUGGAUACAUACAAAAGUAAAUGACACAGUUGAUAAUUUUUAUCUAAUUGAAUCGUAUCUAGACAUAUAUGAACGACAUUUAAACGCAUUAGACAUUAUAAAACAUUUUAAAAAUAACUUUUGUAAAACAAACGAUACAGAGUUGACAAUAAAUAUAGAUAUAAUGAUUAAUAGUGAAAAUGAUACAAAAAAAUGUAUAUUAAACGUGUUUAAACUUUUUAAAACUAUUAUUACAUUAACAAAUUAUAAAGAUAAUAAUUUUACCAAAAAUUGUAUCGAAUUAUAUUAUAAUUUAUUUUAUUCUAUACCUAUAGAAUUAUUUUUUUUUAUUUUAUUUUACAUCAUUUUAUAUUAUACAAAUAAUUUUAAUUACCUCUAUUCUUUUAUUCAAUUUUUUUAUAAAAAAUAUGAAAUUGUAAAUAAUACAACAAUGCAUAGUUCUAUAAUUAAUUAUUUAUUAUAUAAUAGAGUAAAAUGUUUAACCAUAUAUGAUAAAUUUACCGAUUUAUAUAUGUUUAUAAAAAAAAUAUAUUUAAAUAAAGACUUUUUAAUAAAUGUUGAAAAUAAUACAGAAAUUAUAACGAUUCUAAAAAUUAUGUUGAUAAUAAAGAGGUAUUACAAUGUAAAUAAUGUAUCUAAUGCGGAAAUAUCUGAUGUAAAUCAAACAAAAGAACCAACUGAUGAUACAACUACGGAGAAAACAAAUUGCAACAAGUCAAGCGAAGAAGUUUACUUAACAUUUUCGAAGAUACUUACACGAAAAUACAAACAAGAUAACCAAUUAAAUGACAGUGAUAAACAAAAUAAAAUGGAAGAUUAUAAUGGAAUCCCACUAAAUAAAAAACAAAAAGAUAGUAGCGAUUGCAUAGAAAAUUGUAGUGACAGUAUGUACUACAGUAGUGAUAACACUCACACUAAGUACACAAAAUACGAUAGUUAUAUAAAAAUAAAAGUUGAAAAAAACAGGUAUAAUAUUUUUAAAAGUAUACUUAUUCACAACUUUGAAAUUUGUUAUAGUUACAAAAUUAUAAUAAAAUUAUUAAAAUUAUUAAAAAUAAAAAACGAAGAAUUAAAAAAAAGUAUAUUAUUACUUAUAUAUAUGUCACAGUUAACAAACAGAAAUAAAUUACUUGAAUUCUUUUUAAUAUUAUUUGCUAUAUUAUUUCAAAAUGAUAAAUUAAAUAAAAAAGAAAAAUGGAAAAUACAAAAAAGUACUAUAUAUUAUACUAAACAUUCUAAACACUACAUACAUUAUUUAUAUAACUUCUGUUUUUUUAUUUUCUCACAAUUGUCAUUAAAUUAUUCUGUAUAUAUAAAUACUAUAUAUAAGUUACUGUUAAAAAAAAAACAAAAUACAACAGUAACACAUAAAGAACAUAAAAAUGGUGUCUUACUACAACAUGGUGAUACACCAUCUGACAAAAUUAAGCAUAAAAAAAAAAAAAAAAAAAAAAAAAUAAAUCAACAAAUUUACCACAUUUAUAAUACCUUCAUAAAUGUAAAUGACAUAUUGAAAAUUCCUAAUUUUGGUACAGAACAAAAAAAGAAAAAAGAAAUUAACUCGAGUAAUAAAAUUGAGCAUAUUAUCGAUAACGACUAUAGUAGUAACGACUAUAAUGGUAACGACUAUAGUGGUAACGACUAUAGUGGUAACGACUAUAAUGGUAAGGACUAUAAUGGUAACUAUAGUAGUAACGACUAUAAUGGUAACGACUAUAAUGGUAACGACUGUAGUGGUAACAAUUUUAGCAGUUAUAAUAUUGGUUCAGUACAUGAUAAACAAAAGAUGUAUUCUGAAAAAAAGCGCUUUUUUAUAUAUAAUAAAAGGAAUAAAAAUGAUAAAAUUUGUAAUGAUGAUGAUUAUGAAAUGCGUAGUAAUGAGGUAAUUUAUAUACCCGAGUGUAACGAUAUGGACGAACAUAAUACAAAACUAAAAAUGCUAAACAAGAACAAACAAUCAACAAUGGACAUAAAAAAACACAAACAUUUUGAAGAAAUAGAUGAAAGUAAGGACAUUACAUGGAGUGAUAAUAUUUUUUAUAAUCAAUAUAUAGAAUCAUAUAAAGAAGACGUUAUAUAUUCAUCAUCUUCUUUAUCUUUGUUUUCUUUUCCUUAUAAUAAUUUUGAAAGUAACUGUUUUAAUUAUAAAAUUAAUGAAGGAUAUAUAGAAAAUGAAAAAACGUUGAAAUAUCACAAUAUUACUAAUUACAGUAUGGUUAAAGAUGUCACUAAUUCGUUUUCUUUUCAAGAACAUUAUAUUGAUGAUACAUUUACAUCACAUUUGAGUAAUGCUAAUUCGGAUCAUGUUGAACAAUCUGAUAGUGAUCAUUCAGAUUCUUGUAGUCUAUUUUGUCAUAAACACAUAGAUAGUAGUAAAUCAGAAAAUUCUAAUAAGUUUAACAGUCCUAACAAGUUGAACAAAGGAAAUUUUGUUGAAGCCAUCGGAAAUAAUAAUAACAAAAAUCUGUCAAAACACAUAAAAGAUAAAGUUUCAACAAAUCUUAAACAAGUACAAGAAUCAAAAAAACAAACAAACUUAUAUAAUUAUACUAAUAUAAAUACCUUUAAAAAAUACAAUUCGGAUGGAAAAUAUUAUAAAAAUAUACUUGUUGAAGCUUUAAAAAAGGCAAAUAAAAAAAUAAAUAAAUUUAAUUUAACUGAAUGUAAAAUUGAUUAUAUUGUUAAAACGGUUGAAGAGAUUAAAAAGUUAUUAAGGAGAGAGGAAGGUAAUAUAAAGGUUAGAAAUCCGGAUUUGUAUUUACACUAUUAUUAUAAUGGUACUAUUCGCAAUCAUAGUCGUAGUCACAUCCGUAGUCGUAGUCACAUCCGUAGUCGUAGUCAUAUCCGUAGUCGUAGUCAUAUCCGUAGUCGUAGUCACAUCCGUAGUCGUAGCCACAUCCGUAGUGAUAAUUACAGCCACAGUGAUAACCACAAUGAUAACCACAAUGAUAAGCACAAUGAUAAGCACAAUGAUAACUACAGUGAUAGCCACAGUGAUAACUACAGUGAUAACUACAGUGAUAGCCACAGUGAUAAUAUUAGUAAUAAAACUAAAUCCAAUGAACCACCUGAUUACCCAAAUAAACAAACAGAAGAAGUAGAUAAACGUCCCAAUUUGUAUAUAUCACUUAUUCAUAACGAUUUAUAUUUUGCAUGUUUGCAUAUGUUAAACACAAAAAAAUACAUAUUUUUUUAUAUGUUCAUAAGAAGAAUAAUACUAAAUGAUAUUAUUUCAAUUAAACAAAAAAUUAAGAUAUUUGAUACUUUUCUUAUCAGUAUUUAUGAUUCAAAUAUAAUUAAUGAAAAAAGUUUGAAAGUAACAAAUGAAGAUAUUAUAAACAACAUAUCGUUGAGUAAGCAUGUAAAUAUAUUCGAUCAAAAUAUUGGUUAUUAUUUUUUUAAAAAAGUAGUACUAUUAAUUACAAUUAUAAUAUAUUUACUAUUACAUUUGCGAGCUAGUAACAUACAUUAUAUUGAUAUAAAGAAGUUACUAUGUGAAGAUAAUUAUAAAAAGGACAUCGUAAAAACAUUAAGUAAACAGAUCCGAGAUAACAUUUUAAUCAAAUUAAUAAAAAUAACCGAGCUAAUGAAACAAAACUUUCAAUAUAUGACUUAUACAAUUAUUAAAAAACAGAAUAUGUUUAUUUUUAAUUUACAAAUGAAACCAUGUAUUGAAAUGGCUCCUGCAGGAGUUACAAUUGUAAACAAACUUGACAAUACCCUUACAACUUCCACAACAUUUAGUAAUAAAGUUGACAAAAAAAAAACCUAUUCCGAAUAUUAUGACAAAAAAGAACAAACAAAUAAAUAUAUAUUCGAAAUAGAAACAGAAAAACAAAUAUUAAAUGAGUUACAAAAAAAAAAAAAAAAUUCACUUUUUACUUAUGUAUUACAACAUUUAAAAAAUAUAAAUCAUAACCUUCCAUUUUUAUUGAAAAUAUUAUUUUAUAUAUACGAAACAUUACUAUAUUAUCUUUGUCCUGCUAUUUAUUUUAUUAAAUUUUCUUACUAUAAUUUUAACAUGCAUAGUCUUUUUUAUUCUUUAUCGAAAUUGUUUAAGAAAAUGUUAAACACAGAAUUGAUUGACAGAGUUAUAGAGUUAAGAAUGACAUUUUCAUACAUAUAUGAUCAGUAUUUACAGAUAGGUAAUUAUUGUAUUAUUGGAAAUACGUAUGUACCUGAUCCAGUGUUAAAAAAUGGUGAAAAUAUAACCAAAAUUAACUUUAAAAAUGUGUUGGAAGAAUGUAUAGAACGGGUACAUAAAGUGCACAAAUGUCAGGAAAAACGUAUAGAAGGAGAGUAUGUGACAGGUCAAGAUUUUAAUCAAACCAUUAAUCCAAACAGUACAGCCAGUAGUAACAGUACAGCCAGUAGUAACAGUAGUAACGGUAGUAACGGUAGUAGUUAUACUACGAAUAGUGAUAUCCAAAAUAGUAAUAACAAAAUUGAGAAACAAAACAAAAUGUAUAAUUUGAGUGAAAAAGAAUACAACUACAUAAUUUUUUUUUUAUUACUAAAACAAUCAAACAUUUUAAAUGGUUUUAAUUUUUUUAUAAACAAAUUACAAUACGAAAACCCAUCUUUUCACACAGACUGUACAAAUAUGUUACAAAAAAAAGAAGUUCAACAAAUUUCAACUUAUAAUUUAUGUGACGAUUCUGUUUAUAUAAAUAAGAUUGGUUUGUUCAAUCAAUUAAAUAUACCAAUUUGGAUAUAUGAUUUGUGUUUUUUAUUAACACGAUUAAAUAUAAAAUUAAAUCCAUUUUUCUUUUUUAGUAACACAAAUGAAUAUGCACGAGUAAAAAAAUUAUUUGAUUAUCACACAGAUGAUUAUAUGAAAUAUUAUAUACUUUUACAUUUAUUGUUAAAAAAAAAAAAAAAAAAAAUUUUUUUAUUUGACUCUAUUUGUAAUAUAAAAAAUAGUAUAUAUAGAUAUUUUUACAUAAACAAAAAAUAUCAUAAAUUGUACAUAUCCUUUUUUAUGUUUUAUACGAUAAGUAAAUUGCGUUUGUCAAGUCAGUCAGCACAAGAUGAUUUACAGAACCAGUCACAUGAAAUUCAAACCAAAAUGUUCCCAGAUGUAAUUAUUUUUAAUAAUGUACUGAAUGAUUCAUAUCAAAAUGUCAAAAACGAUAUAGAAAUCAAAUUUGAAAAUUCUUUAUUUAUAGAUAAAAAUAAACUAAAAAAAUUUUACAAGUUUUAUAAUUUUAUUGAUAUUUUUCGUAUAUAUAACAAAAAAAACUUUAUUAAAUUAAUAAUAAAUCAAAUAUAUCAAGUCGAUUUAUUACUAGUGUUGUUUUUAGUCAAUAAAGAAAAUAAAAAUAUAAUAAAACAUAUCCUUUUUAGAUUAAUCAUAUUAGUUUUUUUUUCAACAUUAAAAAAAAGUAACUUUUGUAUAUCUCAGUUUGAUUUUUUUGUUAAACAGGCUGUUAUGUUUAAGAAUGAACAUGGCAAGUUGGAUUUGCAGGAUCAAAUAUGUUUGAAUCAUUCUACCCGUAAGGAUAGUAAUGUAGAUAUAAUUGUAAAUUCUAAUACUUACAACUCUGAUAAAAGUAGUAUAACCCACUACAACAAAUCAAUUGUUAAUUACGAUCUGUUUAUUAUUGAUGAAGAUGCUUAUUUGGAUAAAAAAUUGUUACCUACUAAUGAAGAAGAAAUUGGAGACGUGUUAAAAAAAGUUACAUUAAUUAAAAAUGAAAGUGAAAAAAGUGAAAAAAGUGGAAAAAAUGAAAAAAGUGGAAAAAAUGAAAAAAGUGAAAAAAAUGAAAAAAGNNNNNNNNNNUGA